UGGCCAGUGAGAACUUGAUCACUACGUAGUUUGAGUUUCUCGGAAUGAGGAGAUGGAGUGUGCUUUGAAGGAAA
rnacentral:snoRNA from 14 species